rnacentral:rRNA from 1 species
GACGAACGCUGGCGGCGUGCUUAACACAUGCAAGUCGAACGAAGUGGCGAACGGGUGAGUAACGCGUAAUCAACCUGCCCUUCAGAGGGGGAUAACAGUUGAAAACGACUGCUAAUACCGCAUACUGACGGCGGGGAUUGCGUCGGAUGAGCUAGUGGGAGGGGUAACGGCCCACCAAGGCGAUGAGCAGUAGCCGGUGUGAGAGGAGGAACGGCCAAAUUGGGACUGAGACACGGCCCAGACGCCUAAGGGAGGCAGCAGUGGGGAAGCGUCCGCAAUGGACGAAAGUCUGACGGAGCAACGCAGCGUGAGUGAGGACGGCCUUCGGGUUGUAAAGCUCUGUUAAUCGGGACGCGGUACCGGAAUAGAAAGCCACGGCUAACUACGUGCCAGCAGCCGCGGUAAUAC